AUAAUAGUACCUGUUCCUAUGUGGAAGAUAUUCUAACAUGGGGACAUAAAAAAGGGCUGCGAAAUAACCAAUGUGGAAGGCCUUAAACCUCAGUGUUUGUGUUAAUUUAGAAUGGAACUCUUGCUAAUUUAGAAUGCCAACACUGUGCUAAAAGAGUGUUUCUACAGGGGAACUUCAUAACCACCGACCAACCCCAGAAUGGAGAGCUGGUGCAGAAUCUGCUGCUCCUGCUGAGGAUCUCAGCAUGAAGCUGUCCUGUCUGUGGGAUUGCAGGGGUGUCCAUGCUCUGCACCACCUUGAACAAGGGGUCCAUGCUAUUUUCCAAGGAAACACUGCACCUACAGCAGACAAUUAAAAACAAGACCCAAACUCAGAGAGAGAGAGAGAGAGAGAGAGAGAGAGAGAGAGACACAGAGAGAGAGAGAGAGAGAGAGAGAGAGAGAGAGAGAGAGAGAGAGAGAGAGAACGAGAACACCAUGGGGAGGGUGGCCUUUCCCAACCCCUGCAGCACCCAGACCCUGGUGGGGUGGGUGGGUAUGAACCAU
rnacentral:lncRNA from 1 species